CUACGGGAGGCUGCAGUGAGGAAUAUUGCACAAUGGGGGGAGCCCUGAUGCAGCAACGCCGCGUGGAGGAUGACGCAUUUCGGUGUGUAAACUCCUUUUAUAUGUCAAGAAAAUGACGGUAGCAUAUGAAUAAGCACCGGCUAACUCCGUGCCAGCAGCCGCGGUAAUACGGAGGGUGCAAGCGUUACUCGGAAUCACUGGGCGUAAAGGACGCGUAGGCGGGUUGGAAAGUCGGGUGUGAAAUCCUACAGCUUAACUGUAGAACUGCACUUGAAACUUCUAAUCUAGAGUAUGGGAGGGGGAGAUGGAAUUAGUGGUGUAGGGGUAAAAUCCGUAGAUAUCACUAGGAAUACCUAAAGCGAAGGCGACCUCCUGGACCAUUACUGACGCUAAGGCGUGAAAGCGUGGCGAGCAAACAGGAUUAGAUACCCUCGUAGUC
rnacentral:rRNA from 1 species